ACAUCCAGCGAACUUGGCAGAGAUGCCUUGGUGCCUUCGGGAACGCUGAGACAGGUGCUGCAUGGCUGUCGUCAGCUCGUGUUGUGAAAUGUUGGGUUAAGUCCCGNAACGAGCGCAACCCUUAUCCUUUGUUGCCAGCGAUUCGGUCGGGAACUCAAAGGAGACUGCCGGUGAUAAACCGGAGGAAGGUGGGGAUGACGUCAAGUCAUCAUGGCCCUUACGAGUAGGGCUACACACGUGCUACAGUGGCGCAUACAAAGAGAAGCGACCUCGCGAGAGCAAGCGGACCUCAUAAAGUGCGUCGUAGUCCGGAUCGGAGUCUGCAACUCGACUCCGUGAAGUCGGAAUCGCUAGUAAUCGUGGAUCAGAAUGCCACGGUGAAUACGUUCCCGGGCCUUGUACACACCGCCCGUCACACCAUGGGAGUGGGUUGCAAAAGAAGUAGGUAGCUUAACCUUCGGGAGGGCGCUUACCACUUUGUGAUUCAUGACUGGGGUGAAGUCGUAACAAGGUAAGCGUAGCGAG
rnacentral:rRNA from 1 species